AUUGUAAAGAUGAGCAAAAGAAUAUCAGUUAGCCGAACAGCAUAUACUCUGGCUUAAAACAUUCGAAUUUAACAAUUCGUAGGUGCUUUGCCGUGAAUAGGAAGUCAAGUCAGCUCUGCAUGAUGGAGGAAACACGCUCGACAAAUAGAGAUAACUUCAUGAAGUUGGGGAAGAAAGCUGGAAGAGCAGGUUGAUCGAACAGGUUCAUUCGCAGUGGAGUUGAGUCUAUGAAACAGUGGAGGACAGGUCCCAAACCAACUGUUUCAAUAGCGAUUAAACAAAUGAGUUGGCUCCUUCGUUUGUUCGGUUCCAGAUGUUUUCGGGUGGCUUGUCGAUCGGCAGCGGGUUAAAUGGAUUGUAGUUGGUACCCUGUCUCAGGGUCUAGCGUAAUAUUUGCUAGCAAACAAAAAGGCGAACAGAACAAUCGAAAUACUUGAAGGCUCCCCAAAAAAAAAGAAAGAAAACCUAAACUCGUGACUUAACAAGGCCAAGAAGCUAAAAUGGAGGGGAAUGACGAUGGAUUUGUAUGGAUGAUGAAUGGCGAGAGCAGCAAUUGUGCAACCAUUUCCACACCAUCAGCGGGAAAUCCAUCAGGUUGGAUUAGAAUAGUAUUUCUACCAUGACAAAAAUUUGCCACCCUUUUACAGCGCAAAAAGGAAUAAAUAACAGUUCUUUUACAGAUAAUGAACAUGAGGACUAAGUUUGAAGGAUAUUUUAAAUGAAAUAAAGAUUACAACUUGUUAUGAGAA